UAGGGAAUCUUCCGCAAUGGGCGAAAGCUUGACGGAGCAACGCCGCGUGAGUGAUGAAGGUCUUCGGAUCGUAAAACUCUGUUAUUAGGGAAGAACAAAUGUGUAAGUAACUAUGCACGUCUUGACGGUACCUAAUCAGAAAGCCACGGCUAACUACGUGCCAGCAGCCGCGGUAAUACGUAGGUGGCAAGCGUUAUCCGGAAUUAUUGGGCGUAAAGCGCGCGUAGGCGGUUUUUUAAGUCUGAUGAGAAAGCCCACGGCUCAACCGUGGAGGGUCAUUGGAAACUGGAAAACUUGAGUGCAGAAGAGGAAAGUGGAAUUCCAUGUGUAGCGGUGAAAUGCGCAGAGAUAUGGAGGAACACCAGUGGCGAAGGCGACUUUCUGGUCUGUAACUGACGCUGAUGUGCGAAAGCGUGGGGAUCAAACAGG
rnacentral:rRNA from 1 species